UACGUACUCCCUCCGUCCAAAAAUACUUGUCAUCAAAAUGGAUAAAAAGAAAUAUAUCUAGAACUAAAAUACAUCUAGAUACAUUUUCUUUUCUCUAUUUUAAUAACAAGUAUUUCUGAAUGGAGAGAGUACGGU
rfam:Triticum urartu cultivar G1812 contig1171759, whole genome shotgun sequence.